rnacentral:lncRNA from 1 species
UUUUGUUCUUGUUUUCCUUUUUUCAGCAGAAGAUGAAGAGAAGCAUCAAUAAAAUCAUGGAGCCUGUGUGUCAGUAUUUAUAUGAACCUAAGAAGAAUCUAUUAAUAUCUCUGAGAUAUUAAAUCAUAUAAAGUUAUAAAGUACCUAACACAGCAUCCAGGACUUGGUUUGCAGGCAGAAAAUGUGAGUUCUUUUUUGUUUUUCUUGAAGAUUUAAAGAAGGAGUUUGGAAACUACUAGAAAGGAGUUUGGAAAAGAGAGAGACAGAGACCUUGGACAUCUCGGUAUGCCUCGGGAGGAUCACGCCACUGCUUUCCAGCCUAAGUGACAGAGCAAGACUCCGUCUCAAAAGGAAAGAAAGAAAGAAAGAAAGAAAGAAAGAAAGAAAGAAAGAAAGAAAGAAAGAAAGAAAGAGAGAGAAAGAAAGAAAGAAGAAAACUGCAACUCCUCUCUUCUUUUUCUCCCAUCCUCAAUCACUACCCAUUGCAGACAUUUCCUGUCCCACUUCUAUUCCCUACCUUUUUUUUAUUGCUCCACUUUGGUAGCACUUACUACACUCUAACCUCUCAUUUUACUUAUUCCUUGUCUGUCUCUAGGUAAACACCAGGAGGCAGGAUUUUAAUUUAUUUUCACUGAUGCAUCCCUAGUGCCUAGAACAGUGCCUGACACUCAGGUGCUCAACUAAUAUUUCUUAAAAG